UCCCUCGGGUGCAAGCGUUAAUCGGAAUUACUGGGCGUAAAGCGCGCGUAGGCCGUCGAGUAAGUCGGAUGUGAAAUCCCCGGGCUUAACCUGGGAAUUGCAUUCGAUACUGCUUGACUAGAGUGUGGAAGAGGGAAGCGGAAUUUCCGGUGUAGCGGUGAAAUGCGUAGAUAUCGGAAGGAACACCAGUGGCGAAGGCGGCUUCCUGGUCCAACACUGACGCUGAGGCGCGAAAGCGUGGGGAGCGAACAGG
rnacentral:rRNA from 1 species